rnacentral:lncRNA from 1 species
AACACCACUGAUCACAGCUUUCCUGCAUUACCAGUCCACGGGUGGAGGAGCUCUGGUUAAAGCAAGCUUUCUCUCAAAUCAAUGGGAGCACUUCAAGCACGUUUCCUAUUUCUGCAACUGAUGUCAGAACAAUCAGUAGAUGAGAUUGGAGGAACAGUCAGAUCCCCAUAACAAGGCUAAAGAAUGUCAUUAGGUUAUGAAGAAAGAGGAAAGAAAGAAGGAAACAAUAAACAGAAGUUGAUGGCGCUUGGUUUCCUACGGGCAUGUAUCCCUCAGCAGCCUUUGAUAUCUAAUCAGGAGUUGCAUUUGGUAACACUGUGUUUUCAGUGGGAGCCCUUAGAACUCUGUCCAAUUUUGUUGAAAAUGGCCAAACAGAUCAAAGAUUACAAGCAAGAAGAAAUUCUUCCCAAAUGUGUGAAUAUACAAAUUUCAUUUCUUCAGAAAAUCAGGACAAAAAUGGACUUUAGUAUCUUGAUCCAGCCAUCAGGUGCCAAUCAAUCAGACAAAGGAACAAUAGAAAAAUGACCUCAAGAAAAAUUCAAGUGAUUAAUAAAAUAUUUAAAAUUUGAUUCUUCCUCA